rnacentral:lncRNA from 1 species
CCAAGAUAAAGAAAUCUUGAUUGGGUUCAAACUUCUUUUACAGUGACCCUCAGACAGUAAGCAGCCUGCCUUUGGUCACAGAGAGAGUCCAGGUGGUGGUAAAUUUGGAACUGAGGCUUCCAACAUCACCCCUGAGGCUCUCCUCAGGAUACACUGUCAAUGCUACAUGGUGCACACAAAUGCUCAAUAAACAUCUACUGGGUCACUGAGCUGCUAAAGAUCUUCUCACAUGAUAAAAGGAAAGAACAUGGAUUUUCAAGUCAGGCAGAUCCUGCUAUGGAAGGCCAGUGGCA